GGCCCCGUGGACAUUCUCGGAAAGUCGCUCGCCUAGCAAAGCGUGAGAUCCCGGUUCGAAUCCGGGCGAGGCCU
rnacentral:tRNA from 1 species